rnacentral:rRNA from 1 species
UGAGGAAUAUUGGACAAUGGGUGGAAGCCUGAUCCAGCCAUCCCGCGUGUAGGAAGACGGCCCUAUGGGUUGUAAACUACUUUUAUCUGGGGAUAAACCUACUUACGUGUAAGUAGCUGAAGGUACCAGAUGAAUAAGCACCGGCUAACUCCGUGCCAGCAGCCGCGGUAAUACGGAGGGUGCAAGCGUUAUCCGGAUUUAUUGGGUUUAAAGGGUCCGUAGGCGGGCUUAUAAGUCAGUGGUGAAAUCCGACAGCUUAACUGUCGAACUGCCAUUGAUACUGUGAGCCUUGAGUAAGGUUGAAGUGGCUGGAAUAAGUAGUGUAGCGGUGAAAUGCAUAGAUAUUUACUUUAGAACACCAAUUGCGAAGGCAGGUCACUAAGUCUUAACUGACGCUGAUGGACGAAAGCGUGGGGAGCGAACA